GUAGCUGCCGCAUGGCCAGAUCUGAGUUUCCUUCCUGUUUGCACACUUUUACCUGGUCAUCUUGGUGUCCAUUGAAUCAAGUGGUGUAAAGCUGGCUCAGCGGACAGCUGCUAAAUGUAGCUACCUGUGCAGUGCAGUGGUUGCUGGCUAGCGGUGGAGGCUAGGCACUCUGGGUGGUUCCCUGCACCUUUUUGUUGUAGUGACAGGCGCACUGGGACACAGUAGUCUGCACCUGUUUGCCGUGUUUGCAGUGAGUUCACGUGUGGUGGUGCCUCCUGAUGACUGAGGAUCCCCAGUAUCCAAUACUGACCUUCAGCCUUGUCCCUUGCCAGGCCAGCCCAAGGAAUUGACUGGAACCCUGACAAACCAGCCCGGAGACCUCUUGGAUGCAGACCUCACCCAUGCAGACCUCUUGCCUCCGACUGAUUUGCAUAAUGCCACCUCAGCGCAUGCGCGGGCAUUCACGACAGCAG